rfam:Gossypium raimondii Chr01_contig_269, whole genome shotgun sequence.
UGUUAAAAAUUUCAUCUAUUUUCACUUUUAAAAACUGAUGUAAUUGACAAAAUAGCCAGACAACUGUCAUAUGUACCUCAUUUUGAUGUACAUAAACCAAUUUUUAACAAUAGAAAUAGAUGAAAAUUUUAAUA